CGGCAAGGCGGCAGCCUACCAUGCAGUCGAGCGGUAACAGAUCUGUGCUUGCUGGAUGCUGACGAGCGGCGGACGGGUGAGUAAUGCAUAGGAAUCUACCCAGUAGUGGGGGAUAACCUGGGGAAACCCAGGCUAAUACCGCAUACGUCCUACGGGAGAAAGGGGGCUUUGGCUCCCGCUAUCGGAUGAGCCUAUGCCGGAUUAGCUGGUUGGUGAGGUAACGGCUCACCAAGGCGACGAUCCGUAGCUGGUCUGAGAGGAUGAUCAGCCACAUCGGGACUGAGACACGGCCCGAACUCCUACGGGAGGCAGCAGUGGGGAAUAUUGGACAAUGGGGGCAACCCUGAUCCAGCCAUGCCGCGUGUGUGAAGAAGGCCCUCGGGUUGUAAAGCACUUUCAGCGAGGAAGAACGCCUGUCGGUUAAUACCCGUUAGGAAAGACAUCACUCGCAGAAGAAGCACCGGCUAACUCCGUGCCAGCAGCCGCGGUAAUACGGAGGGUGCAAGCGUUAAUCGGAAUUACUGGGCGUAAAGCGCGCGUAGGUGGCUUGAUAAGCCGGUUGUGAAAGCCCCGGGCUCAACCUGGGAACGGCAUCCGGAACUAUCAGGCUAGAGUGCAGGAGAGGAAGGUAGAAUUCCCGGUGUAGCGGUGAAAUGCGUAGAGAUCGGGAGGAAUACCAGUGGCGAAGGCGGCCUUCUGGACUGACACUGACACUGAGGUGCGAAAGCGUGGGUAGCAAACAGGAUUAGAUACCCUGGUAGUCCACGCCGUAAACGAUGUCGACCAGCCGUUGGGUGCCUAGCGCACUUUGUGGCGAAGUUAAACGCGAUAAGUCGACCGCCUGGGGAGUACGGCCGCAAGGUUAAAACUCAAAUGAAUUGACGGGGGCCCGCACAAGCGGUGGAGCAUGUGGUUUAAUUCGAUGCACCGCGAAGAACCUUACCUACCCUUGAACAUCCUAGCGAACUUGAGAGAGAUUCUUUGUGUGCCUUCGGGAAGCGGAAAGACAGGUGCUGCAUGGGCUGUCGUCAGCUCGUGUUGUGAAAUGUUGGGGUUAAGUCCCGUAACCGAGCGGCAACCUUUGUUCCUUAUUUGCCAGCCAGGUAAUGGUCGGACCUCCUAAGGAAAACUGCCGGUGGACUAAAUCGGAAGGAAGGUGGGGGGACGAACGUCAAGUCAUCAUGGGGCCUUUACCGGUAGAGCCUUACUACGUGUGCUAACAAUGGGUCUGGUAUACAAAAGGGCGUGAAUCUUCGUGAGAUUACGCAAACUUCAUUAGGACCGGCUCCUCAAUCCUGGAGAGUAUCGCGUAG
rnacentral:rRNA from 1 species